rnacentral:rRNA from 1 species
AUUGAACGCUGGCGGCAGGCCUAACACAUGCAAGUCGAGCGAGUGGCGGACGGGUGAGUAAUGUCUGGGAAACUGCCCGAUGGAGGGGGAUAACUACUGGAAACGGUAGCUAAUACCGCAUACCAUCGGAUGUGCCCAGAUGGGAUUAGCUAGUAGGUGGGGUAACGGCUCACCUAGGCGACGAUCCCUAGCUGGUCUGAGAGGAUGACCAGCCACACUGGAACUGAGACACGGUCCAGACUCCUACGGGAGGCAGCAGUGGGGAAUAUUGCACAAUGGGCGCAAGCCUGAUGCAGCCAUGCCGCGUGUAUGAAGAAGGCCUUCGGGUUGUAAAGUACUUUCAGCGGGGAGGCGUUACUCGCAGAAGAAGCACCGGCUAACUCCGUGCCAGCAGCCGCGGUAAUAC